rnacentral:rRNA from 1 species
UACGGAGGGGACUAGCGUUGUUCGGAAUUACUGGGCGUAAAGCGCACGUAGGCGGAUUUGUAAGUCAGGGGUGAAAUCCCGGGGCUCAACCUCGGAACUGCCUUUGAUACUGCAAAUCUCGAGUCCGGAAGAGGUGAGUGGAAUUCCUAGUGUAGAGGUGAAAUUCGUAGAUAUUAGGAAGAACACCCGUGGCGAAGGCGGUUCUCUGGGACGGUACUG